AGCAGCCGCGGUAAUUCCAGCUCCAAUAGCGUAUAUUAAAGUUGUUGCAGUUAAAAAGCUCGUAGUUGAAUUUCGGGAUCAAAGAAUCGGUCAUGCCUUGGUAUGUACUGGUUUUAUUGGUUCUCACCUUCUAAAGAACCAUGAUGUCAUUCAUUUGAUGUUAUGGGGAAUUAGGACUGUUACCUUGAAAAAAUUAGAGUGUUUAAAGCAAGCUUACGCUUGAAUACAUUAGCAUGGAAUAAUGAAAUAGGACAUCAGAUUCUAUUUUGUUGGUUUCUAGGAUCGAUGUAAUGAUUAAUAGGGAUAGUUGGGGGCAUUAGUAUUCAAUUGUCAGAGGUGAAAUUCUUGGAUUUAUUGAAGACUAACUACUGCGAAAGCAUUUGCCAAGGAUGUUUUCAUUAAUCAAGAACGAAAGUUAGGGAUCGAAGACGAUCAGAUACCGUCGUAGUCUUAACCAUAAACUAUGCCGACUAGGGAUCGGAUGAUGUUAAUUUUUUAAUGACUCAUUCGGCGCCUUACG
rnacentral:rRNA from 1 species